AUGAAAGAUAUUGAACAACUGAGUUUCCUCGAGAGUGUCGAGCCCCCCAGCCGCGGCGCUCCUACAGGCCAGUCCCCGCCAGAGACGGUGCUCCCGGGAGGGCCUCCCAGAUUUCUGCUGCUCGCUGGGGGUUCGGGGCGUGACCCCAGGGUCCUGGGAUGGAGCCCCACGGAGCCCCCUACUCCGUCAGGCGGGGACCCUGCCUCUCCCUCUCCAUCCGCUCCAGCCGCUCACGACGUGGAAGAGGCCGGGGGAGCUGAGGCCGUGGCACCUGCCGCCCACGCCCAGCCAACACGGGCACUUGGUGCAUCUCAGGCCCACGAAAUACAGCGCAGUCACCUUCGUGGCCCUGGUCGCGGAUGUGUGGGCCGUGGCCUUGCCUGGUCGCGUAGUCCUGGUCGCUCACAGGGGACCUGCCCCGGGGCAGGGGUUCGAGGCCUGCAGGGGAGCCCCCCGAGACGGCUCGUGUGCUGGGAGUGCGGAGGAGGGGCCGGGGCUUUUCCGGGGUGGCUCACGGGCGGUGCGGCAUCGGGGGAAGCCAUCCUCGGGAUCCUGCGUCUCCUGGCUCUGUGGCCCCUCACGACGUCGCUUCUCCCGGAGACUCGCUUCCUGCGGCCAGCCGGGGCAGCAGCCGUGGCCACCACAGCUGGCACGGGGCUCCCGGGCGGAACGCGUGUGCAACGCUGGCGCCGUCCAGUCCUCACCUGGGGCCGCUUGGCUGCCGCGGCGUGGGCAGUGGCCACCGUAUCAAGGCUGUCGGUCCACAGCACACACGCUCUCAAUCCAGCACACACGCGUGUCCUGCACCGCGUGUGUACACACACAUACACACGUAUACCCGUGUGUACACAUGCACACUCACAUGCAUAUACACACGUGCACAUACACACACACAUGCACACACAUGUAUACAUAUACACAGACAUGUACACACAUACACACGUAUACACAUAUAUACAUAUAUACACAUAUACACACACUUUUAUGCACAUAUACACAUACAUGUAUAUACACGUAUACACACACAUAUACACACAUAAUAUACACACGUACACAUGUAUACACACGUGUACACACAUACACAUACUUGUAUACACACAUGUACACACAUGUAUAUACAUAUAUAGAUAUACACACAUACACGGACACAUACACACAUACACAUAUACACACGUACACAUAUACAUAGACACAAUAUUCACGUACACACAUAUACACAUGUACACACAUACUUUUAUACACAUAUACACAGAUACGCACACACACACAUAUAUGGACAUAUGCACAGACAUACACACAGGUAUAUGCAGAUAA
rnacentral:lncRNA from 1 species